AACGAACGCUGGCGGCGUGCUUUACACAUGCAAGUCGAACGGGAAGGCUCUGCUUAUCUGGGGUGCUCAAGUGGCGAAAGGGUCAGUAACACGUGAAUAAUCUGCCCUUGACUUUGGGAUAACUUCAGCAACCUGGAGCUAAUACCGGAUAGGAGCUCCUGCCGCCUGGUGUGGGCUGGAAAGUUUCGGCGCUUGGGGAGGGACUCGCGGCUUAUCAGUUUGUUGGUGGGGUAGUGGCUUACCAAGGAUUUGACGGGUAGCCGGCCUGAGAGGGUGACCGGCCACAUUGGGACUGAGAUACGGCCCAGACUCCUGCGCGAGGCAGCAGUGGGGAAUAUUGCACUAUGGGCGGAAGCCUGAUGCAGCAACGCCGCGUGCGGGAUGACGGCCUUCGGUUUGUAGACCGCUUGCGCCUGUGACGAAGCGUGAGUGACGGGAAUGGGUAAAGAAGCACCGGCUAACUACGUG
rnacentral:rRNA from 1 species